AAGACCUUGCACUUUUGGAGCGGCCGAUGUCUGAUUAGCUAGUUGGUGGGGUAAUGGCCUACCAAAGCUUCGAUCAGUAGCUGGUCUGAGAGGACGGCCAGCCACACUGGGACUGAGACACGGCCCAGACUCCUACGGGAGGCAGCAGUGGGGAAUUUUGGACAAUGGGCGCAAGCCUGAUCCAGCCAUGCCGCGUGAGUGAAGAAGGCCUUCGGGUUGUAAAGCUCUUUCAGCCGGGAAGAAAAGGUUGCGAUUAAUAAUCGCAAUUUAUGACGGUACCGGAAGAAGAAGCACCGGCUAACUACGUGCCAGCAGCCGCGGUAAUACGUAGGGUGCGAGCGUUAAUCGGAAUUACUGGGCGUAAAGGGUGCGCAGGCGGUUUUGUAAGUCAGAUGUGAAAUCCCCGGGCUUAACCUGGGAACU
rnacentral:rRNA from 1 species